UGGGGUUUUCUGCCAUAAAUUUCUUCAAUUUGAGUUGUGAUAGAGGCUAGUGUUUGUGUUAAAUGAAAAUGGAAACAAGAAGUCGAAAAAGGUGCUAAGGUAUCUAAAUUCAUAAGAAUCUAGAUUAGAGUGUUUGGUAACCAGGAAAUCAAAGGAAAGGAAGAAAAUUUAGAAGAAGAAGGGAGAGAUUCAGAGAGAAGGAGGUGAGGAAGAGAGAAAAGAUAUUAUAGAGGAAGAAGGAGAAUGUCCUG
rnacentral:misc_RNA from 1 species